rnacentral:rRNA from 1 species
UACGUAGGUGGCAAGCGUUGUCCGGAAUUAUUGGGCGUAAAGCGCGCGCAGGCGGUCCUUUAAGUCUGAUGUGAAAGCCCACGGCUCAACCGUGGAGGGUCAUUGGAAACUGGGGGACUUGAGUACAGAAGAGGAAAGCGGAAUUCCACGUGUAGCGGUGAAAUGCGUAGAGAUGUGGAGGAACACCAGUGGCGAAGGCGGCUUUCUGGUCUGUAACUGACGCUGAGGCGCGAAAGCGUGGGGAGCAACAGGAUAGAUACC